rnacentral:rRNA from 1 species
AAGAACCAUUUUACUAAGUUCGGGCUAGUUGAAGCAAGAUAUAUCUUGUUUAAGAAAAAUAAGACAAUGGAGUGUGGUAAUCACGAGAAGUUGUUUAAGUUUUGAAAUUUCAACGAGGUCUGGACUCAUUGAAAAUAAAAUGAUUUUAAUUUUAAAUAUAUGUACCCACAACCGGCACAGGUGCCCCUGGGUUAGAAGCUCAAGUCCUGAAGGAUUAAUCUUUGUAAGGGAAUUCGGCAAAUUAGCCACGUAUCUUCGGUAUAUGUGGUCCCUAAGAUGUUUUUUAUUUAAGGCAAUUUUAGGGUGCAAUUACUUGGACGGUCCGACUGUUUAACUAAAACAUAGGGAACUGCUAGUUCGUAAGGAUGUGUAUAGUUCCUGAAGUCUGCCCACUGCCAGUAACUAAAACUCUUUUUCAAGGGAGCCAAGGUCUGGUAAAGGGCGGGGAUAACUAUGAUCCUCUUAAGGUAGCGAAAUGCCUUGUCGUUUAAAUGACGACUUGCAUGAAUGGCGUAACGAGAUUGUCACUGUCCCUACAAAGAACCCUCUGAAUACACUAUCCCGGUGCAAAAGCCGGGGACUCCAAAUGGGAAGUAAAGACCCCGUUGAACUUUACUGCAGCCUGCUAUUGUGAAUAAUUUUGCAAGGUAACAAGGAGCUUCGGCAAAAAGGUAGUACUUGUCUUUGUUGAAUUAUUUGCUUAUCUCUAUAUGAGAAACAGUGGUUGGUGGGCAGUUUGGCUGGGAUGGCACCCUGCUGAAAUAAUAUCAGCAGGGCCCAAGGGUUGGCUCAAUCGGUUUAGAAAUCCGAUGUUGAGUGCAAGGGCAAAAGCCAGCUUUAUUGUGAUUACUACAAUACUAGUCGCAAUUAGGAAACUAUGUCCUAUCGAUCUCCAAUGUGCUUUUUAAUGAGGCCUUGGAUUGACAGAAAAGUUACCACGGGGAUAACAGAGUUGUCUCUCCUGAGAGUUCUCAUCGACGGAGAGGUUUGCUACAUCGAUGUCGGCUCAUCCUAUCCUGGCUGUGCAGCAGCAGCCAAUGGUGGGGGUGUUCACCCAUUAAAAGGGUUCGUGAGCUGGGUUCACAACGUUGUGAGACAGUUGGUAUAAUAUCUGUUUGGAGUGCAACGUAUCUGAGAGAAAGUUACAUUUAGUACGAAAGGAACGAUGUGUCGUCACCUCUGGUGUAUCUGUUACUUAUAUAGGUAUGCAGAGUAGCUACGUGAUAGAGAAUAAGUGCUGAAAGCAUCAAACACAAAGUUA